CCAAAUUUAGACGAUUACUAUGUUUCAUCGUACCUAGUCAAACCAACAGUAGUGGGAAAUCAACCGUUUUUAAGUUAGAGUCCUCUUCAAAUGGGUGAGAGUCCCUAUACGUGUUUUGUCUUUGUCAAGGAGAGUUACGUUGAGAUCUUACAAAGGUGAUCCCAGAG